GAUGAAGAACGUAGCGAAAUGCGAUAAGUAGUGUGAAUUGCAGAAUUCCGUGAAUCAUCGAAUCUUUGAACGCACAUUGCGCCUUCUGGUAUUCCGGAAGGCAUGCCUGUUCGAGAGUCAUUAACAACCGUUUCGAUCCCUUUCUUUCAGAAAUUACAAAGAGGAAAAGGGUUUGGUUAUGGUGGAGGAGGGAAAGGGAGCGUUUAGCCUGUAAAAAAAGAGGCUGUGUUCCGCCUCCCCCCCAAAAUUGUACAGGCGGUCGUGUGCGCCCACGCAUCGAGGUGUUGUAAAAGCUGCCACGGCACUUUUCACCUGUGCAGUGCGAGAUUGGCCAGCCGGUUUAAAAACCCCUCCAAACAAUCAAAGGUUGACCUCGGAUCAGGCAGGGAUACCCGCUGAACUUAAGCAUAUCAAUAAGCGGAGGA
rnacentral:misc_RNA from 1 species